UACGUAGGGCGCAAGCGUAUCCGGAAUUAUUGGGCGUAAAGAGCUCGUAGGCGGUUUGUCGCGUCUGCCGUGAAAGUCCGGGGCUCAACUCCGGAUCUGCGGUGGGUACGGGCAGACUAGAGUGAUGUAGGGGAGACUGGAAUUCCUGGUGUAGCGGUGAAAUGCGCAGAUAUCAGGAGGAACACCAACAGCGAAGGCAGCACUCUGGGCCGGUACUGACGCUGAGGCACGAAAGCGUGGGGAGCAAACAGG
rnacentral:rRNA from 1 species